rnacentral:ncRNA from 1 species
GUUUUGGUCCUAAACUUGCCAUUGUUUUUUAUCAAAUUUACACAUGCAAGCUUCAACAACCCAGUGAGAAUGCCCAAAACCCCUAGACAGCCAUAAGGAGCAGGCAUCAGGAUCCAGAAGAAUCUAGCCCAAGACGCCUUGCUACGCCACACCCACACGGGUACUCAGCAGUGAAUAACAUUAAGAAAAUGAGCGAAAGCUCGACUUAGUUAUGAUAAACAUGACCGGUAAAUUUCGUGCCAGCCACCGCGGUUAUACGAAAGGUCAAAAACAAUGACCUACGGCGUAAAGCGUGACCAGAGUUCAUCAAAAAAUUUUAAAGCGGAACAAUAUUAAAGUUGUAAAACACCUUAAUAAUUAGACAAUCAACAACAAAAAGACUUUAAACAACGAGAUAGCUUGACUUCACGAAAGCUAAGAAACAAACUAGGAUUAGAUACCCUACUAUGCUUAGCCCUUAACAUAGAUAGCAAACACACAAUGCUAUCCGCCAGAGAACUACAAGUGAAAAACUAGAAACUCUAAGGACUUGGCGGUGCUCCAUACCGUCCUAGAGGAGCCUGUCCUAUAAUCGAUAACCCACGUUUUACCUCACCAUUCCUUGCAAAUCAGCCUAUAUACCGCCGUCGUAAGCCUACCUUAUGAAAGAAUCAAAGUAGGCAAAAUAGUCAUUAACUAGAACGUCAGGUCAAGGUGUAGCCAAUGGAAUGGAAGAGAUGGGCUACACUUUCUAUCAUAGAACAUACGAAUAGCACAGUGAAACCUGUACUUAAAGGUGGAUUUAGUAGUAAUGUAAACAAGAAAAUUUACCUGAAACUCGCUCUGGAGCGCGCACACACCGCCCGUCACCCUC